rnacentral:tRNA from 1 species
GCCGGAAUAGCUCAGUCGGUAGAGCGAGGGCCUGAAAAGCCCUGCGUCAUCAGUUCAAUUCUGAUUUCCGGCACCA